AAAUGCGAUAAGUAAUGUGAAUUGCAGAAUUCAGUGAAUCAUCGAAUCUUUGAACGCACAUUGCGCCCGCCAGUAUUCUGGCGGGCAUGCCUGUUCGAGCGUCAUUUCAACCAUCAAGCCCCGGGCUUGUGUUGGGGACCUGCGGCUGCCGCUGGCCCUGAAAACCAGUGGCGGGCUCGCUGUCACACCGAGCGUAGUAGAUUCUCAUCUCGCUCAGGGCGUGCUGCGGGUUCCGGCCGUAAAACAGCCUUAUUUUACCCAAGGUUGACCUCGGAUCAGGUAGGAAGACCCGCUGAACUUAAGC
rnacentral:misc_RNA from 1 species